GGUUCCUGCGGUCAGACGGAAAGACCCCGUGAACCUUUACUAUAGCUUCACACUGGCAAUUGUGUCGUCAUGUGUAGGAUAGGUGGUAGACUAUGAAAGCAAGCGCUAGCUUGUCUGGAGUCAUCCUUGAAAUACCACCCUUGAAGUCAUGAUUGUCUAACCGCGGUGCAACAACACCCGGGACAGUGUGUGGUGGGUAGUUUGACUGGGGCGGUCG
rnacentral:rRNA from 1 species